AAUGAACGUUGGCGGCGUGGAUUAGGCAUGCAAGUCGAGCGAUAACCGUAGCAAUACGGCGAAAGCGGCGAAAGGGAGAGUAAUGCAUGGAUAUCUACCCUCGGGUCUGGGAUAGCCGCGGGAAACUGCGGGUAAUACCAGAUAACAUCUGCGGAUCAAAGGUGUGAUUCCGCCCGAGGAGGGGUCCAUGUCCUAUUAGCUAGUUGGUGGGGUAACGGCCCACCAAGGCUGGGAUGGGUACGAGGUGUGAGAGCACGACCUCGUUCACUGGGACUGAGACACUGCCCAGACACCUACGGGUGGCUGCAGUCGAGAAUCUUCGGCAAUGGGCGCAAGCCUGACCGAGCGACGCCGCGUGCGGGAUGAAGGCCUUCGGGUUGUAAACCGCUGUCAGUGUGGAGGAAAUGCCUAGGGGUAAUCUCCUAGGUUUGACCUAUACGCAGAGGAAGGAUGGGCUAAGUUCGUGCCAGCAGCCGCGGUAA
rnacentral:rRNA from 1 species